rnacentral:lncRNA from 1 species
GCGGCACUACGGCUAGGUUGGGACGAGAAUUGAGGUUUAGGUUGGGUGGCUGGGUCUGAAUGAGAUUAGAGGUUUAGGAUGAGCGGUCAUAACGGCUAUGCCUGGACAAUAUUCGGGGUUUGGUUUGGGCAGCAUAACGGUUGUGUGGUGGAAUGGACCAAAGGCUUGGACAGUUCCUUAAGGGGUUGGGGUCACUAGGGAAUUUUUAGAAUGAUCUUAAAGAGUAGAACUUGAGAUCUUGUGCGACAGUUGGUCUGUCUCAGUACUAGGAGAUAAUACACAUGGCGGCAGACGCAAUCGGGCAAGAUCAAGUGAGAUAGAAACUAGAGAGUUUGUAGAACGGACACCACUUUGUCCUGGCGCUAGGGGAUGGCACACAAGGCGACAAAUGGGCCAGCACAAGAUCCGGCAGAUGUACGAUAGUGAUAGGGGUUAGCGGUGAUGAUAAGGCAGUGAGGAACAGCC